rnacentral:lncRNA from 1 species
UACCGAAACGUGCGGAUUUUUCCCGAUUGGAUUGCUAUCACUUUGUGGAACGUUUCGCCGAAUGGUUCACGGAAUAUUGUCGUUCUUGUGGCGAAAUUGGUCCCGUGGGAAUGAAUGGCAAAAUGUUCAAAACUAGAGUGGGUGCUGGCAAAAGCUGAAAAAUCAGGACAUGAUUUCUAAACUGCCACCACUCCCUCAUUUUCAAGCCCACCUACACAAAUCUUAUAUCAAAACGUUCAGCUAUCCCUGCUGCCACUAAACAUGUCCACGGCUAAGCCAUAGUCUUGAUAGUUUUCACAAUAUGACCAUUUGUUUGCAACUCAUGCCGUCCAUUGACAUUCAUUGAAACUCCACUCUAGCC